rnacentral:rRNA from 1 species
UACAGAGGGUGCGAGCGUUAAUCGGAAUUACUGGGCGUAAAGCGCACGUAGGCGGCUUGGUAUGUCGGGUGUGAAAUCCCCGGGCUCAACCUGGGAACUGCAUCCGAAACUGCCUUGCUAGAGUAUGGGAGAGGGAAGUGGAAUUUCCGGUGUAGCGGUGAAAUGCGUAGAUAUCGGAAGGAACAUCAGUGGCGAAGGCGGCUUCCUGGGCCAAUACUGACGCUCAGGUGCGAAAGCGUGGGGAGCAAACAGG